rnacentral:rRNA from 1 species
CCUGGUUGAUUCUGCCAGUAGUCAUAUGCUUGUUUCAAGGAUUAAGCCAUGCAAGCCUUAGAGUAAAUGGAUUGACAGUAGGUCUGCGAACGGCUCAUUGAAUCAGCAAUAAUCUACACGGUGAAAGCAGGUUUGGUCCUGCCAGUUGGAUAACCGACCGAAACGGUCGGCUAAUACAUGUACGAUAAGCCCAGUUCCGUCCAGCCCUCGAAGGUAGAACUGAGAGGGUGGAGCUGGGCUGCGGACGGCUGGUAGGAGAACCAGCGCCAGCAAUGGCAGUGUUUCAGCGAUGAAUCAAGCCGUCUAGCUAUAGCGCACGUCUUGAACGGCGCAAGACCGUACGAAUUUCUGCCCUAUCAGCUUUUGAUGGUAAUGUCGUGGAUUACCAUGGCUGUAACGGGUACGAGGAAUCAGGGUUCGAUUCCGGAGAGGGAGCCUGAGAGACGGCUACCACUACUACGGUGGGCAGCAGGCGCGUAAAUUGCCCAAUCAUCACGUUAUGGAGGCAGCGAAGAGAAAUAGCAAUCCCACCCUUUAUGGUGUGGGAGCUGCAAUGGAUGGUACCUAAACCCACCACUGAGUAUCAAUUGGAGGACAAGCCUGGUGCCAGCACCCGCGGUAACUCCAGCUCCAAUAGCGUAUAUUAAUGCUGCUGCUGUUAAAGGGUUCGUAGUAGGAUUCAGAGUCGGGGUUGCAGGUUGCUCCUUCGGGGGUGUACGCCUGCUUAUGGCCCCUGCUCUCGAUAGGCGGGACUGGUACCCCUGCGGAACCCUUCCUAACCGUUGGGGGAAGCAACCACGCUCUCAACAUGAGCUACGGGGCGCCCGCCGCUCGCUCUGUGAACAAAACAGCGUGUCCAAAGCAGGCGAUAUCGCCUGAAUGACAAAGCAUGGUAAGCAAGUGAACGAGCGCUUACGGCUCGCCUUUUGCUGGUUUUUACGGCCUAGAGCGGGAACUUGAGUAGUGUGUCUCACCACGAGCACCGGCCUCGCAACCCUCGGGUUGCGUGGUUGAUUGCCGUGUCUGGGCCUCUGCCCUUUUCGGAUCAAUAGGGGCUGUCGGGGGAAAACGUAUUGGGGCGUGAGAGGUGAAAUUCUUAGACCGCCCCAAGACGAACUUAUGCGAAGGCAUUUUCCAAGUAUGCCUUCAUUUAUCAAGAACUAAAGUGUGGAGAUCGAAGAUGAUCAGAUACCAUUGUAGUCCACUACUGUAAACGAUGACGCCCAUGGAUUGGGCGAGCUGGGUUGCAUUCAACCAGCACUAUCCCCCUUUUGCGAGAAAUCAGAGGCUGUGGUCUCAUGGGGGAGUACGUUCGCAAGGCUGAAACUUAAAGAAAUUGACGGAAUGGCACCACCAGGUGUGGAGCGUGCGGUUUAAUUUGACUCAACACGGGGAACCUUACCAGGUCAGGACAUCCCCAGGAUUGACAGAUUGAUAGCUCUUUCUUGAUUGGAUUAAUGGUGGUGCAUGGCCGCUCCUCGUUGGUGGAGUGAUUUGUUUGGUUGAUUCCGUUAACGAACGAGAUCUCAACCUCUAAAUAGGUCAGGGAUCGACUUUCGCCGCUACACUGGGCUUCGGCUGCGGUGGGCGGUUAGAUACCCUGCACCUUCUUAGAGGCACAUCGUAUGUCUAAUAGUACGCUGGAGCGAGCCAAUAGCAGGUCUGUGAUGCUCCUAAAUGUUCUGGGCCACACGCGCACUACACUGACAGAGUGAGCGAGUUUGAUCUCGCUUUGCGAGCCUGCCUCGAAGGAGGUGGGAAAUCUUGGAAAACUCUGUCGUGAUUGGGAUCGAAGAUUGCAAUUAUUCUUCUUGAACGAGGAAUACCUAGUAGGCGCAGGUCAGCAUGCACUGAUUACGUCCCUGCCAUUUGUACACACCGCCCGUCGUUGCUACCGAUUGGGUGCAAGAUAGAGUUUGUUGGAUUGGUUCACGCGGAUUCACCUCCCGAUGGACUAGGAAUUCAAGCAAUAUUUUCCAUCUAGAGGAAGCAAAAGUCGUAACAAGGUAGCUGUAGGUGAACCUGCAGCUG